AAAGGCGCUUUCGGGUGUCGCUGAUGGAUGGACCCGCGGUGCAUUAGCUAGUUGGUGAGGUAACGGCUCACCAAGGCCACGAUGCAUAGCCGACCUGAGAGGGUGAUCGGCCACAUUGGGACUGAGACACGGCCCAAACUCCUACGGGAGGCAGCAGUAGGGAAUCUUCGGCAAUGGACGAAAGUCUGACCGAGCAACGCCGCGUGAGUGAAGAAGGUUUUCGGAUCGUAAAACUCUGUUGUUAGAGAAGAACAAGGAUGAGAGUAACUGUUCAUCCCUUGACGGUAUCUAACCAGAAAGCCACGGCUAACUACGUGCCAGCAGCCGCGGUAAUACGUAGGUGGCAAGCGUUGUCCGGAUUUAUUGGGCGUAAAGCGAGCGCAGGCGGUUUCUUAAGUCUGAUGUGAAAGCCCCCGGCUCAACCGGGGAGGGUCAUUGGAAACUGGGAGACUUGAGUGCAGAAGAGGAGAGUGGAAUUCCAUGUGUAGCGGUGAAAUGCGUAGAUAUAUGGAGGAACACCAGUGGCGAAGGCGGCUCUCUGGUCUGUAACUGACGCUGAGGCUCGAAAGCGUGGGGAGCAAACAGGAUUAGAUAC
rnacentral:rRNA from 1 species